UCCAUGCCGUAAACGAUGAUUACUAGCUAUUAGCGAUACAAUGUUAGUGGCAAAGCGAAAGCAUUAAGUAAUCCACCUGGGAAGUACGGUCGCAAGAUUGAAACUCAAAGGAAUUGACGGGGGCCCGCACAAGCGGUGGAGCAUGUGGUUUAAUUCGAUGAUACGCGAGGAACCUUACCAGGGGCUUAAAAUGGGAAUUGACAGGGUAGGAAACUACUUUUUCUUCGGACAAU
rnacentral:rRNA from 1 species